rnacentral:rRNA from 1 species
AUUGAACGUUGGCGGCAGGCCUAAAACAUGCAAGUCGAACGGUAACAGCGAGAGCUUGCUCUCGGCUGACAAGUGGCGAACGGGUGAGUAACACGUAGGAAUCUACCCAAUAGUGGGGGACAACCCGGGGAAACCCGGGCUAAUACCGCAUACGCCCUCUUAUCGAAAGAUAAGGGAGGAAAGCGGGGGAUCUUCGGACCUCGCGCUAUUGGAGGAGCCUGCGUCGGAUUAGCUAGUUGGUAGGUAAAGGCCUACCAAGGCGACGAUCCGUAGCUGGUCUGAGAGGACGAUCAGCCACACUGGAACUGAGACACGGCCCAGACUCCUACGGGAGGCAGCAGUGGGGAAUCUUGCGCAAUGGGCGAAAGCCUGACGCAGCGACGCCGCGUGA